rnacentral:piRNA from 1 species
UGAAUAUUGGGCAAACACUCA